GAGCCCGGAGAUGGAUUCUGAGACACGAAUCCCAGGCCCUACGGGGUGCAGCAGGCGCGGAACCUUUACAAUGUGCGAAAGCAUGAUAAGGGGACUCCGAGUGCCAGCAUCUAAUGCUGGCUGUCCUUGUGCCUAAAAAGCGCAAGAUAGCAAGGGCCGGGUAAGACCGGUGCCAGCCGCCGCGGUAACACCGGCGGCCCGAGUGGUAGCCGCUAUUAUUGGGUCUAAAGGGUCCGUAGCCGGUUCGGUAAGUCCUUUGGGAAAUCUGGUUGCUUAACAAUCAGACUGCCAAGGGAUACUGCUGAACUUGAGACCGGGAGAGGUAAGAGGUACUUCAGGGGUAGGAGUGAAAUCUUGUGAUNCCCUGGGGGACCAUCUGUGGCGAAGGCGUCUUACCAGAACGGGUCUGACGGUGAGGGACGAAAGCUGGGGGCGCAAACCGGAUUAGAUACCCGGGUAGUCCCAGCCGUAAACGAUGCUCGCUAUGUGUCAGGUACGGUGCGACCGUAUCUGGUGCCGUAGGGAAGCCGUGAAGCGAGCCACCUGGGAAGUACGGUCGCAAGACUGAAACUUAAAGGAAUU
rnacentral:rRNA from 1 species